rnacentral:rRNA from 1 species
CAGUUUGAUCCUGGCUCAGGACGAACGCUGGCGGCGCGCUUAACACAUGCAAGUCGAGCGAGAACCUGGCCUUCGGGCCUGGGGAAAGCGGCGAACGGGUGAGUAACACGUGGGUAACCCACCCUUGGUACCGGGAUAGCCCGAGGAAACUCGGAUUAAUACCGGAUGGCCCAACAGCUUUUCGGGGCGGUUGGAAAAGGUAGCUUCGGCCUCCGACCAAGGACGGGCCCGCGGCGGAUUAGCUUGUUGGUGAGGUAACGGCUCACCAAGGCGACGAUCCGUAGCUGGUCUGAGAGGACGAUCAGCCACACUGGGACUGAGACACGGCCCAGACUCCUACGGGAGGCAGCAGUGGGGAAUCCUGCGCAAUGGGCGAAAGCCUGACGCAGCGACGCCGCGUGGGGGAAGAAGGCUUUCGGGUUGUAAACCCCUUUCAGGAAGGACGAAGCCACUCGGGUUAAUAGCCCAGAGGGUGACGGUACUUCCAGAAGAAGCCCCGGCUAACUACGUGCCAGCAGCCGCGGUAGUCGGGCCCA